GACGAACCGUGCGAACGUUAUUCGGAAUCACUGGGCUUAAAGUGCGUGUAGGCGGGGCGGCACGUCGGCCGUUGAAAUCCCCCGGCUCAACCGGGGAAGUGGCGCCGAUACGACCGCCCUGGAGGAACGUAGGGGGAGCUGGAACUUCCGGUGGAGCGGUGAAAUGCGUUGAUAUCUAGGGGAACACCAAAAGCGAAGGCAGGUGGCUGGACCGUUUCUGACGCUGAAACACGAAAGCGUGGGUAGCGAAUGGG
rnacentral:rRNA from 1 species